GGGCUGGUGGCUUAGUGGUAAAGUGUCUAGUCUAGAUUACAGAUGGUCCUAGGUUUGAUUCCUGGGCCAGUCCA
rfam:Sphaerobolus stellatus SS14 unplaced genomic scaffold SPHSTscaffold_123, whole genome shotgun sequence.